GGGACUACAAGCUUGAGGAAGCCUUCCCCCUCGCUAAAGGAAGCCCCAUAGUAAGUGAGCCUUCUUGACUCUCUAUCCCGUCUGAGUUUAGUUCGUUUCUCUGGAGCAUGAGAUCCUAUUUCAAGCCCGAGCCAUCUAGUUCUUCUUUUCUUCCUUAAGCACUGGAGCCAAACAUCCAUCCAUCGGAUUCAUUUAAUUGCUUUCUUGAAUAUGUGAAUGCAUAAACUACAAGUAGUCGGAGUCACUCUGACCCAGGCAUAUAUUGUAAUGUCAUUGAUCCCCGUCUUCCUCAUCAGGACGGGGCUCCGCUGAUAUGCCUAUACCGAAAGAAGUCCAACCAGAACCCCUAUUGCUACCUCCCAUGUUACUUGCACCCACUACUGGGUUGGAUGCGCCAGAAGGGGGUGCCCCUGGGAUUUCAAUUCAACCCUUGUUAAAGCUUUUCGUCUUUCUUCUUGUAUUGUAGCAUUCCGCUUUUGGGUUGCCGCUAGUGUAGGCAAAGUAAAUACUUUCGGGCGGGUGCCAUUAGAGAACUAGGUGGUCAGUAGGCGCAAUUUGUCUUUCUUUCCUUGCUAGGUGCAAAAGGCUCUUUGUCGGUCUUGAUGCCGAGAUCUAGAGUUCAUCCAAUUCUAUACGUGACAGACUUUUGAGAACAUUCGAAUUCAACUACUACGUUCAAGAAAGCUUUUAAGGUAGCGUAGUUAUGAAGUCGACAGAGAUGCGUGUCUUCUGCUUGAUGCGUGUUAUCCGUUGUUGUCUCUUUCUUUACCAUAUUAAUUCUUUAACAUUGGCUUGAAGGAGUGUAGCGUAAGAAUCUCGAAUCUUUAUCUUUCUUUUGUGCAUUGCAAAUUCGUUUUUGUUCUGAGGCUGCGCACCUUAGUUAUGUUCUAUGUUUAUCGAGAUUUUUCGUCGAACAAUGACAAUGUUCGAAAUCUCCUCUGUGUGUUGAAUCCCAAGUAGCUAACCGAAGUGGGCUUGGUGGCCCUAUUUCAUAAGAAAGACCGCCCCCUUUAAUAAAUUCCCUAAGAGAAUAAAAUAAAGGCAUCUCCUUUCUUUUUCUCUUCUCACUUUGUCCGCCUACUGUUUUGGCUUUAGGAUAAUGGGCAUGCUCUCUCCCAUACACUGCUCUAUUCUUUCUGAUAGUCAUACUCUGUAUUGCCUCUGUCUCGUACCUAAUAGCUACCCUUUCGAUUCCCCCUUUGUACUUUUCGGUACACGUUGAUCGAGAAAACUUGCGUAACCGCCGUGUGUGCAGCUCAGAAAUUCCGGCACUACCUACUAGCAGGUCCGGCACUGAUAGUCUCUGGGCUAGACCCGUUGAAAUUUUUGAAAAACUAGGUAAAAUGGUCAGAUGGUCAUUGAUGCUAUCGGAAUUCGAGAUCAAAUAUGUUUGGUGUAAAGCCAUAAAAGGGCUUGUGCUAGUCGACCAUUUGGCGGCAUUGCCGAUCAUAGAAGGUCAGCCUCUCCUGACCUAAUUUCCUGAUGAGGGUAUUAUGCACAUCCACUCCCUUGAAGUUGCUCCCCACUUGUCUCACUCAUUCGCAUUCAACGGCGCUGCGAGCGAGCGAGGAUGUGGUGUUGGGAUCAUACUUACAUCCCUCGAAAAGGUAAAAUCCCUACUUUCCUACCUGGGGAUAAGAAAGAAUAGAAAGAAGCAAAAACCGCACCAUCUUCAACAAGACGUGUGAACAGCGCCUCUACGCCUAUUCGAUAGCAGCUUCAGAUUCCGAUAACAUAGGUAAUUCCUCCUCUAAGAGCUAAUUCCAUGGCAUCGCUUACUCAUUCAAAUGCAACUGAGCCCUAUGUUUAACACAUGCUCUUCGAUGUGUCCUAGCUUGAAGCUACUUUCUUACUCAUCAGUACAUGAAUCCGCUCCUAGAGAAUAGUCUAUUACAGAAGAUUCCAUAGCAGUAGUUUCAUUCCUAUUUAUUUUAAAUAAAAAGAAGAAGAUUCCCUGGUCGAAGAAGUAUGACCACAAUCGGAUUAAGAGACAGAAUAAGUUGUUAAAGAAGAAGUCGUAAGCUGUGCAAAAGUAAGCACUAGUACUCUUUCUAGAGUUAUUUAUAGUGUUCAAUCAUCCGGUGCUUUCUUUCCUGUCUCGCCCCUGAGUGUAGUUGAUUUAAGAGCCCUAGUUCUUUCGUUGAGGUCUUCGGUAUUAAAGUUGAAAGGAAAGCGUAUAAAAGAAAGAGGGCCUAGCCUAAAUGGAAGAGUGUAUUUGUUGAAAAAUGAGGUUUUCGUUCAGAAGGCUCUAGGGCUCCUCAUUUUUUAGAAGAAGAGGGCGUCGGGAUCGGAUCUUCUAAGGCAAACUUUGUCGAGUAUGAAGGAAUGAGGAGCGCGAAGGGUUAGUAGGAGUGCUUUCAAGUCCAAAGGUUAAAAAGCCUUCGUCCAGAGCACUGGGAAGGGACUGGCUUAAGGAAGUCACGUUGGUUAGGCAGAUAGUUGUUAAAAGAUGUUAGUAGUAGCUCCCUGCUUGAUAGGACCUACUGGGCUUAGGUUGUUGAAGCGAUAAGACCAACAGCACUUUGUAUUGACUUAGCUCAAAUCAGAAUGAGUUCGUUAUUUUCCUAAUAAAGGAAAGGCAGAGCAUACCCAAUGAGAGAAGGAAGGGAAGCCAAGAUUAAGUUUAAGCUAGGGAGUUUUGGUCUUGGUCAAUCCUCAUCAAUCCUGGUCCUUUUUUCGGGGCGAUAUCUGCAAGAAUAUGUAUAUGUGCUCCUCACCUUACCGGGUGUUUCGGGUAAUUCCAAUCGUGCCAUCAAAAUAGGUUAUUUGAAAGUGAAGAAGAACAGAACGCAUGAAAUCGGUAACCUAACCUGAACUUAAGGUGAACAUUACAUUCAUAGAGUAAGGCGUUGUAACUAUUCAUAUAUUGUUUAAGGGGCUGGGCCUAGGGUGAGUUAUGGCUUAAAGUCUCUUGGAGCUGUUCUUCAUCAAUCCCUGUUUAGAGAUAGACUUUAACUGAAAAAAAGGGAUUUGUCAAUAUAAGGGAAUGAAUUCCACUAUAUCAGUAAUCGUUGGCGUUGGAGGAGCAGCUACGGGCGGUGGUUUCGUUCAUUCAUUAAGAAACCCGCCUACGGUACGUCGGUUUCAUUCCUUCUAUUCAACAUAGAAAGUAUGCUGCUUAGUUCAUCCGCUAGCUCACCUUCUUCUUCUAGUUCUAGCUAGCUGGUUGCUGCGAUAUAAGGAAAACGUUCAACGUUCAGAAUGGGUAGUUUUUGAGGAUUUGGACUUUGAUGGGGAUUUAGGGAUAAACAUGCAUAUGAAUAAGCAGAAUUCUCAAUAGCAUUGGAAAAAGUACCAAAAUAAUAAGAAUUAAGGAAUAUUAACAACAACAUACUCAUUUUAGGGCAAAGUAGUACCACUAAUCCAAUUAUAGAGGUAGAGGAGGACGGUAAACAAUUAUAAUGGUAAACCAGAGCCACCGGUUGGCGAGACUUCCAACUUCCAAAAGAGGAAGAUCCAUCAAAUUGAGUUAACAAUCACGCUGUCUGGUCAAUCCAGUUCCUCUUUUAUAAAAUAGAUGUCGAUCUUUGGGGUCCUCCGUUUACCAAAUCAAUAUCUCCACUACGGUACACUCAUCCAUUUGAUGGAACAUCUAUUCCCUUUCGAGCUGUCAAAUCAGAGUACGGAGGUACGACUAUAGCGAAACAAGAAUUCUUAUUAUUAUAUGUAAUAUACCCCGCACCACGCUCAUUCCUUAAUUCAAGUGGAAGUGGCAUCUGCCCCUGGAAUAUGUCAUACUCUUCCCGUCCAAAAUGAAUGUCUUGAAUUAUUUCCUCUAUCUUUCUUUCCCUGAAGCAGCAAGAAGUACACAUGAAUCGAUUUCUGGUAAUUCAAUAUACCCCGAUCCCUUCGAGAUCUCUUUUGAAGGUGCAAAAUAUAGAAUCUAUAAUAAAUAGAAGUGGAAUCUACUUAUGGUAUGGGUAUUUUUUAAAACAUUGGCUCAAUCUUCAUCUUUGUCUUUUCCAAAAAAAUGGAUAUUUUCUUCCAGUCUCUGGUCUCCGGGCUUUCCAUCCGUCCACGUCUAUUUUAUGUGUGAAUCCAUCUCUACUUCGCCCUUUUGUUAGCAGCUCUUCGAUCCACCUAGGAAAGGUCUCCGAGGCCAUGUUUUCUAAUCCAAAAAUUCACUUUCAUGGCUUGAAUUUUAAGCAUAGUUUUCCACUCUAUAACUAUAUAACAAGGAGUGGAACUAGAGAAGAUCCCUCCCAGCUAGGCUACUACGUUUUUGUGUUUGAAAUUCCAAGUCUGGUCUUCAUUGUAUUUGCUUUUUGCUCACUCACUACGUUUUUUUUCUUUUUAGUUCUUCCCCCGCAUGGGCGAGCUGGCUAAGGUCGAUGGUGCAUCCGGUAAGCUCUAUCGAUAUUCAUCUCCAGAACCCGGUCAAAGCUGACUUUCACGAAUAAACCCUGGUGACGGUUACCUGCUUUGCUUAACCUAACCGACCAGAAGGUUCCUUUACCGAUAGCCGACCAGAGAUCUAAGGGUUGACAAUUAGUUAGUUCUCUUUUCUCCGUCCGGUAAUAGAAUUUCUUUACCGAUAGAGCAACCCGAAAUCAUGUUCUUACUUUAAGAGAAGGUUGUACUAUUUAAUUUAGUAGGAGGGGGAAGUGGAUCUCAAUUCAAAACUGAUCGAACUAGGAAGUGAUCUAUACUAGAAGGAAGGAGAGCGAAAUCAAGUUCUUUUCUUUUAUUAUUUAGUAUUUUUAUUAUUUCUAAAAAUUAUAUUAAUUUGUUAUAACUAAUUAUUUGUUGUCUCCAUCAGUCAAAUAAAACGGAUCAUUUCUGUCGGAUCGAAGAAUUUCAUGAAUUUCAUUAUACCCCUUCCCUUCUAAGAUCCUUACUUUUUGUUUGUUAUUUCAUAGGAAUAGAAUAAAUG
rnacentral:lncRNA from 1 species